rnacentral:lncRNA from 1 species
GAUUCCACACUAGGCUGGAUAUGCAGGAUUUAAUCAGUUGUAUUAACCUAGCUUAUUGAACAUUUUCUCCAUCGUUGCUCAUGUUGGACAGUUCUUUUAUAAUAAAUUAAGUGGUGUUUUUUUCAGGGUUGUCUAGUUUAUUCACUUAGUUUGUCUGUGUACUCUUGCACCUUUGCACAUUGAGUUUUCUUACUUCUUUAGUAUAUUU